rnacentral:rRNA from 1 species
UAAGCAUAUAAGUAAGCGGAGGAUAAGAAACUAAAUAGGAUUCCCUUAGUAAUGGCGAAUGAACAGGGAUGAGCUCAACAUGGAAAUUGUGGCUUCUGGCUUUGAAUUGUAAUCUCAAGAUGUAUUGCUAAUGGGGGCGUAGAUGUAAGCCGCUUGGAAAAGCGAAUCAUUGAGGGUGAGAAUCCUGUUUGUCAUCUGCAGACCUCCGUGUACGGCAUACUUUCUAAGAGUCACGUUCCUCGGGAUUGGAGCGCAAACUGGGUGGUAAAUUUCAUCUCAAGCUAAAUAUGGGUUCGAAACCGAUAGCAAACAAGUACCAUGAGGGAAAGAUGAAAAGGACUUUGAAAAGAGAGUUAAAAGUGCCUGAACUUGCUGAAAGGAAAGCGGAUGGAACCAGUGUUGCUUGGUGAGAUUGUUGUGUGCUACGGUGAUAUCUCGCUGCAUCAACGCAAGUGGUGCUGUGGGUUCUGAUCUGGACGCACGCGAUGCUUCUUGCCUUGUGUGUCACCGUCGGUUUGGGGGUGAGGACAACUCUUGGGACAUGGUAGUUUGGCCUCGGCUGAGCGAAUGUGCCUUGCAGGACUCACUUUCAAACCGCAAACGUUGAUGUGAGGUUGUGCAGCCUUGUCUUCCUGCGUUUCCUGUGCUAGCACAGGUUCACGUGUGUGCGAGUAUUGGGCACCUUCCUGACAUUUCUAAUGGUGACUAAAUGGUUCUAUUCGACCCGUCUUGAAAC